UCCACUCCCUGCUCUGUGGCUCCAGUUGACAGCUGCUUCUCCAUUGCAGCAGCUCCAAAGGCUCCCCAGGCUGCUGGGAAACAGGCAGAACAGGUCAAGGGGAGUAAGGGCCAAGCAUGGGGUGCCCUUCGGGGCCCAGGAGUGGGGAGCUCACAGCCUGCCUUUGCUUCCAAGGGAUGCCUUUGUAUCUGUAGCUCAAGUGUGCCCAUGCUCAUGCUGGUAUCUAGUUAGCAGGUGAAGACAUCCCUGCUGUGCCUGCCAGUGUCUGUGUACCUUUGUGUGUAAUUGCACACACAUGCACACAUGCCUUUGGCUCUGUGUGUGUAACUAAGGUGGGUCUGUUCAUGGUGGUCUCAGGUGAAGCUGUGCCCAAGUAGGCAUUAGGAUGUGAUUGUGGCUGAGUGUGGCUGUAUUUGUGUGGAUGGCUAUGUGGUUAUAUGCACGUGGUACUGUGCUUUAUGUGUCUUAACUAUAUGUGAUGGUACUGACAGAGGUGUGAGACUGGCUGGCUAGGAGCAUCACUGUGGGGGCUUUGUCCAUAUACAUCUAUCUGUGUGUAGCUGUGUGUCUGUGUACAGCUGUAUUGUGUGUUCACAUGUAAAGCUAUGUGCUUUUCUGUGUGUCACAUGUAAAGUUAUAGGUCAGUGCAUCUGUGUCUGUGAGUUUAGCUAUAUGUGUGUAGAUAUGUCCAUGUGUAUGGUUAUAUGUAUAUGAUGGGGUGUCUAUAUAUACAGCUGUUUGCAUGUAAAGUUAUGUAUUAUGGCUGUGUGUACAUCUGUGCAUAUAGUUGCAUAUACUUCUCUGUGUGUGGCCAUGUCCAUAUAUACAAGUCUGUAAGGCUGGGUGUCUUUGUGUGCACGGCUGGGAGUGAUGGCUGCAGAGCUGGGUACAUACAUGUGGACAUACAUGCAUGUCCAUGUGCUGCAGUGGGACUGUGUAGGCCACUUCUGUGGGCCGCAUAAUGGGCCUCUGGGACUGGUGCUGUGUUUAAAGCCCUGUGUCUUUUGUGAGGCUGUCUUAGUGAGGGGGGCAGGGAUUGCUGUGUGGUCCUCUUACCUCAGCACCCUGCUGCUAUCAACCCCUCUGCUCCAAGGGCCCAGCUCAUCACUCAGUUACCCCAGGCAGCAGUUGCUCUGAACCAGCCAGAGAGGAUGAGAGCAGCCAGGGCUGGAAGACAACAUAUCUGUCUCCCCAGCCUUGUCUGACAGCUCUGAACCCUCAUUCUGCUGUCACCUCACCUACCUCCCAUUAGCAAUGGAAUUUGUGUUUGUGUUUGAUGUGUGUGUUUCACAGCCGUGCUCUUUCCAACCCAGUGGGGGUACUGGGUGUCUGCAUCCUGGGAUAAAGUCUAUCCUUUCUUGGUGACACCCCUCCCCCCUAACUGCCAAACACACAUGUAGGUGCAUGUGCCAGAGGGACCUGGGCUUGGCAUGUGCUCAUUAGCAUGUGUCUGAGCUAGCUUUGCCUCUGCUGACACCUGUGGAAGAAAGGGCAGUGCCAGGGGAGCAGAUAUAGGGAUGCUGUGUGCCUUAGCACCUAGUGUGUGCAUGCUUCAUGCAGGCUCCAGGGCUAACCCUGGGUGUGGGCCCCCUCCCCCGAACCCUUCAGCACAAUCAGGGGCUGCAGUUUAUCCACCACCUUCUACCCAUGGGGGCGUCCUUCUCCAUUCUGCUGCAGGAGAGAAGAAGAGUCAAGAGCAUCUUCUCAGAGCUGUCCUCCCUCUGCUCGGGCUCCAGCUCCUGUUCCUCCUACGCAGCAGCCAGUUUCAGGAGCCUCCUCCCCACCCCUCCUCCCCUCCCAGAUCCCCUGCCAGCCCCAGCAUGUCCCUUAGGGUUGACCCUAGUCACUGGCUCUGUAGCACCCCCCACACACCCCAGGUUGAUAUAUCUUUGCCAUAAAUAUUUGUAUAUGAGGGUGGGGAUUAGUGGAGGUUGGUGGGGGAGGAGGUCAGGGCGGGGUGUGUGUAGGGGGUGGAUAGCAGCUUUAAAGGUCAUCUGCAGGAAGAGGAGGCCCCAUUCUCCUCUGACCGCCCCCCCCAUCUCUUCCUCUAGUGACUCAGGCCCCAGCUCUCACGUAGGGCCAAAGACAUAUGCCCCUACCCCAGGCCUGGCAUGUGGACUGAGCUGCAGUCUGUGGAUGGAGAGAAUGGAUGUGAGGACAGGGAAAGACUCGUCGCAGCAGGCUAAGCUCUCUACCUAUCUCCCACAUGCCCCCUUACCUAUCUCCCAAUGGCACCUUUGGACCCUACGGCUAGCCCCUCCGCUCUCAAAGAUGGAACGCCACAACACUGUGCGCACCUCCUGGGGCUCAGUGACCUUACCAGCCCCGUGUCCCUUGUCCCGUGCCCGCUGCUCUGUGGGAUGCAGUCUGACCGCGGGGUAGAGGGGGCAGAUAGGCACCUGCUCCUGCGCAUAGCAGGAGCGCCCGAGGAUUCAGCACCACGCGGUGGACAGCUCCGGGACGAAAGCCCCGCGAAGAACAGAAGCCAGAGGCGCAGGGCACGGAGCGGUGCAGGAGUCUGGAGGGAGGCGGAGGCCGGGUUGGGAGCGGGAGAUCCGGAGUGGGGAGGAACGGAGGAGGGGCUGGGGGCGGGCCGGGGCCAGGGGCGGGGCGGGCCGCGAUUGAAAGCGGCCGGGCGAGCGGGCGGACGGAGAGCGCAGAGCUGCCGAGAGAGCCAGCUAGUGAGCGAGAGCUGGAACCCUGCGCCCCCGGCUCCUCUCCGUUUCUCUCCGCGCCGGAGUCGGGCGCGCCAGGUGGCCAACCUCCUGCGGCUAUUUCAGAUUCCACAGAUCAGCUAUGCCUCCACCAGUGCCAAGCUGAGCGACAAGUCCCGCUAUGACUACUUUGCCCGCACUGUGCCCCCCGACUUCUUCCAAGCCAAGGCCAUGGCCGAGAUUCUCCGCUUCUUCAACUGGACAUAUGUGUCCACUGUGGCGUCCGAGGGUGACUAUGGUGAGACAGGCAUCGAAGCCUUUGAGCUGGAGGCCCGUGCCCGCAACAUCUGCGUGGCCACCUCGGAGAAGGUGGGCCGUGCCAUGAGCCGCGCAGCUUUCGAAGGCGUGGUGCGAGCCCUACUGCAGAAGCCCAGUGCCCGUGUGGCUGUCCUGUUCACCCGCUCCGAGGAUGCACGCGAGCUCCUCGCAGCCACCCGGCGUCUCAAUGCCAGCUUCACCUGGGUGGCCAGUGAUGGCUGGGGCGCCCUGGAGAGCGUGGUGGCCGGCAGCGAGGGGGCCGCUGAGGGCGCCAUCACUAUCGAGCUGGCCUCCUAUCCCAUCAGCGACUUUGCCUCCUACUUCCGGAGCCUAGACCCUUGGAACAACAGCCGGAACCCCUGGUUCCGUGAAUUCUGGGAACAGAGGUUUGGCUGUAGCUUCCGGCGGCGAGAUUGUGCAGCCCACUCGCUGCGCUCCGUGCCCUUUGAGCAAGAGUCCAAGAUCAUGUUUGUGGUCAACGCAGUGUAUGCCAUGGCCCAUGCACUGCACAACAUGCACCGAGCCCUCUGCCCCAACACCACACACCUCUGUGAUGCAAUGCGGCCUGUCAACGGGCGCCGCCUCUACAAGGACUUCGUGCUCAAUGUCAAGUUUGAUGCCCCCUUCCGCCCAGCUGACACACACAAUGAAGUCCGCUUCGACCGCUUUGGUGAUGGUAUCGGUCGCUACAACAUCUUCACCUACCUGCGGGCAGGCAGUGGGCGCUAUCGCUACCAGAAGGUGGGCUACUGGGCAGAAGGCCUGACUCUGGACACCAGCCUCAUCCCAUGGGCCUCGCCCUUGGCUGGCCCCCUGCCCACGUCUCGCUGCAGUGAGCCCUGUCUCCAGAAUGAGGUGAAGAGUGUGCAGCCAGGGGAGGUCUGCUGCUGGCUCUGCAUCCCCUGCCAGCCUUACGAGUACCGGCUGGACGAGUUCACUUGUGCUGACUGUGGCCUGGGCUACUGGCCCAACGCCAGCCUGACUGGCUGCUUUGAGCUGCCCCAGGAGUACAUCCGCUGGGGCGAUGCUUGGGCCGUGGGACCAGUCACCAUUGCCUGCCUAGGCGCCCUGGCCACCCUCUUCGUGCUGGGUGUCUUUGUGCGGCACAAUGCCACCCCAGUGGUUAAGGCCUCAGGCCGAGAGCUCUGCUACAUCCUGCUGGGCGGUGUCUUCCUCUGCUACUGCAUGACCUUCAUCUUCAUUGCCAAGCCAUCCACGGUGGUGUGCACCCUACGGCGCCUUGGUUUGGGCACCGCCUUCUCUGUCUGCUACUCAGCUCUGCUCACCAAGACCAACCGCAUCGCGCGCAUCUUCGGUGGGGCCCGGGAGGGAGCCCAGCGGCCACGCUUCAUCAGUCCUGCCUCACAGGUGGCCAUCUGCCUGGCGCUUAUCUCGGGCCAGCUGCUCAUUGUGGCUGCCUGGCUGGUGGUGGAGGCACCGGGCACCGGCAAGGAGACAGCCCCGGAGCGGCGGGAGGUGGUGACAUUGCGCUGCAACCAUCGAGAUGCAAGCAUGCUGGGCUCACUGGCCUACAACGUGCUCCUCAUCGCGCUCUGCACGCUCUAUGCCUUCAAGACCCGCAAGUGCCCCGAGAACUUCAAUGAGGCCAAAUUCAUAGGCUUUACCAUGUACACCACCUGCAUCAUCUGGCUGGCCUUCCUGCCCAUCUUCUAUGUCACCUCCAGUGACUACCGGGAGCAGGAAAAUCGAGACAAGAGCCCCUGCAAAGGCCCUUUCCCCCAGGACAGAGGUGCAGACCACCACCAUGUGCGUGUCGGUCAGCCUCAGCGGCUCUGUGGUGCUCGGAUGUCUCUUUGCGCCCAAGCUGCACAUCAUCCUUUUCCAGCCACAGAAGAACGUGGUUAGCCAUCGUGCACCCACCAGCCGCUUCAGCAGCGCCGCCACCAGGGCCAGCUCCAGCCUCGGCCAAGGGUCUGGCUCCCAGUUUGUCCCCACCGUUUGCAACGGCCGUGAGGUGGUAGAUUCAACAACAUCGUCGCUUUGAAGACCCCACAUUCCUGCCCCCACACAGCUGCUCCCUGGAAUCCGGUGCACCCCCACAUCCAGGGCCAGGAGGAAGUCAGCUGGAGCAUUGCAAUAACCCCAACUCCAUGCCCGCCCCCGCAGCCACUUACCUACCUACUUAUUCCAACCCUUCAGAGUCAGAAGUCAGGGUCCUUGACCCGGGAGCCUCUGCAGCAGCCACCAACUGUCCUCUCAGCGUGUCCCCUCCUUGCUAGGCCCAGGCAGGACUCAGAAGGGAGCAAGCCAGGGUCUACUCUGCCCUGGAACAGGAUGGCCGAGGACCACCGGCCCCAAUCCCCAAUCAGCAAAGGUGCUUCCAGCCCCACCCUUCCCUCCUUCUAGGGCCUUUUUAAUUUUUUACAUAAGUUAUUCUGGGAUGGGGAGGGGGGUUAUUGUGGGGGCCAUCCCUCCCCGUGCAUAGUAGUUUGUCCUGUGGUUUAUUUUGUAUUACCUGUAAAUAAAGUGUCUUUAUUUAAAAAAAAA